rnacentral:lncRNA from 1 species
UGAUUUCUCAUUUGCUCCCAAACCCUGAAGAGUACUCUUGCCAGCGUGCCAUCGUCGACCGACUGGAGCAACCAUCGCCAACUGGACCCAUCGCUGGCUGGAGAGCCGGUAGUCACCUGAUGAAGAAGAAGGGAAAAAGUGGAAAAAAGGAACUCAAUUUUCUCCCAUUAAUGAUUUUCUAAAGAAAUUAAUAAGGUAUUAUGAGAAUUUUGAGACACCCAAGAGAUCUUAAUUUCUUUUCCUUUCAAGUUCUCCAAAGACAGGUAAGAUCUUGUGAUUCUUUAUUAGCCACCUCCAUAUGAUCAUAUUUAUUCAUUAGGCUUCGCAGAAAUUUUUCAAUAACCUUUUAGGUUUUCAAAAUUUCUAUAUUUGAUGCCAUAGAAUUUGAAAUGGAACUCUAGUAUACUGGAAUCUCAGUUGCUUGAUAUAUUUGGAAGGGUGAAUCGUGUCUUUUUGUGUCUUAUUCUUUAGGAGAUUUGUAUGUGCUUUAGAUAAUUGAUUUUCAUUUUCUAGUUGUUUGUAUUCCUUCAACAAUAUUUCAUAAAUAAUGAGAUUCAAGACACAAUUCAUUAGAUUAAUUUAGUAGUAAAAAAUUUCUCCAUUAAAACGAGUCACGAGAGAAACAAGAUUAUUGUUUGACAUUAUUUUUCUUUUCUUGGCUCUGAUAGUAGUUAGAAGAAAAGAAGGCUUGGUAGAUAUAUUAUUAUUAUUAUUAUUAUUAUUAUUAUUAUUAUUAUUAUUAUAAAUUGCCUUUGCAAAAUUAUAAAGAUUUUGGUAAAUCAAUGUGCAUGUUCUAUCUUUAAGAAGUCUCCUCCAAUUACUAAGUCAAGUAUUAAAAUUCUAUAAAACAUUUGACUAAACAAGUACAUGAUUAUUCUAGGAAAUUUAAUAGUCAAAAUUUGGUUUAUUAUUCCAACAUAUAUAUUAUGCUUGUUUUGUUUUGGAUUCACUCAAAAGCCUAGCAAAAAUGCAUAUUUGUAAUGUAGUUAUUUUAAUUAAUCUAGACUUGCCAAGGAGUCCCAGUCCCUUUUGAGCGUGGUGGAAAAAACAUUCACAAAACAAGAGCCAAGAGCUUGGGUUUUGGUGAAAAGAAACAAACGGCAUCUAUUAUUUUUGUAUGAUUUCUCUGCUUCUUAAAUACAAUAUAAUCAUUCGCCUCAAUUAUAUAGCCCCAGUUUGGUAUUGACUUAAAUAAGAUUUUAAUUUAAGUCAAAGUAAAACAAUCAAUAUUAACCAUAUUUUUUAUCGGUCUUACAACUUUUUAAUCGUACUUUCCAAAAAUUUCUAUCAAAAUCUACAAAAAAUUUUUUCAUAGCUUGCGAUUUAUUUUCUAUUAAAAAAGAAUAUAUGUGAUGGAAAUAAAUCCAUUGCAAAUCAUUGACAGGAUUUAUUUUGUUGAAUUCUUGCCGGGUCUGCUGCAUACCCUAUACCUAAAGGCAAUUUUGCUGAAUUCUUAUGUUAUUGCUAGUGUUUAAAAUUGCGAAUUGGAUUGGCAUGUGUUCUUAUAAUGGGUUUAGUGUUGCAACCUUGGGAGUUUUAAUUCUUGUUUCUUCCAUAAGGCACUUCAACUUUGGACAGUAUUCAUUCAUACUUUUGUAGUUACUAGUGCUGAUGUUGGUUCGUAUGAUACCUUGUUUGUAGUUACUAGUGCUCAAGAAGGAGAAAAUUGUUGCAAAUGUGGACGCUAAAGGGAAGCUGCCGGCUUGACUUGAAGAUACUUAUCAAAGUGGCUAGCCUAAUUUUCUCAAUUAAAACUAAAUCAGCUUGUCCUUAUUAUUUGUGGAGGUUGAAAGUCUUGUAUGUGAUGAAUUAAGCAAAGUAGUUGAGCUUUGUGGUGCGAGGUUUUGUAUCGUGAUAGCUUGGUAUCAAAACAAGCAUCUUUUGUAGGCAAACAUUUGUACUCUCACGGCUUACUUACAAUUUAUGUAUGGU